rnacentral:rRNA from 1 species
AUGGCGAACGGCGGCGACGGCGACGGCGACGUCCCGGAGAACGCCAACGAGCGUAAGGCCAGCCAUUCGCUUGCGAGGGUUUUAGACUCGUUUCUGAUGAAUUUUCUGUGUUUCGCCGCCGCAGAUUGCCCCGGGACGCAGUCGGAGGCGGCCGGGAAGGCGGAGUCCUGCGCCGGGGUGCCCCAACCAGCAGAUCUGCGCCACCGCGCCCAAGGGCCCCGACCCAGAAAAUAUGAGAUACCUGAAAGAUCUACAGUUAGUUCACUGACUCUCAGUAUAUUUAUUCUUGGCGAGACAAUGCUAAGCUGGGUCAUUUCAUUUUCAGACCUGCUUGCCAUCAUUGAGCGAAUGAAUACUGUGAAACAUAAGAUACUGGUGUUGUCUGGCAAGGGUGGUGUAGGGAAGAGUACUUUUUCAGCCCAGCUCUCAUUUGCCCUUGUUGAGAUGGACUAUCAGGUCGGCCUUCUUGACAUAGACAUAUGCGGACCUAGCAUCCCAAAAAUGUUAGGCCUUGAAGGCCAGGAUAUUCAUCAAAGCAAUGUUGGCUGGUCACCAGUGUAUGUUGAGUCCAACCUUGGUGUCAUGUCAAUUGGAUUCAUGCUGCCGAACCCAGAUGAUGCUGUCAUAUGGAGAGGUCCUCGCAAGAAUGGGCUCGUCCGCGCCUAUGAAGAACUCCCAACAAGAAUUAACAGUAGUGGAAAAUGGGCAUAA